rnacentral:rRNA from 1 species
UGACCUCGGAUCAUGUACGGAU